rnacentral:rRNA from 1 species
AACGAACGCUGGCGGCGUGCCUAACACAUGCAAGUCGAACGGAAUUUGAGAGCUUGCUCUUAAAUUUAGUGGCGCACGGGUGAGUAACGCGUAGAUAAUCUGCCUGACGAUCUGGGAUAACACUUCGAAAGAGGUGCUAAUACCGGAUAAGCCCACGGAGUCUUUGGAUUCUGCGGGAAAAGGGGGGGACCUUCGGGCCUUCUGUCGUCAGAUGAGUCUGCGUACCAUUAGCUAGUUGGUAGGGUAAUGGCCUACCAAGGCGACGAUGGUUGGCUGGUCGGAGAGGAUGAUAAGCCACACUGGACAGAGGAAACGGUCCAGCUUCCUACGGGAGGCAGCAUUGGGAAAUUUUGCGCAAGGGGGAAAGGCCUGACGCAGCAACCCCGCUGAGGUAAUGAGGGCUUUCGGUUCGUAAACCUCUGUCGAGGGGAAAGAAUUGUACUUGGCUAAUAUCCAUUGUACUUGACGGUACCCCUAAAGGAAGCACCGGCUAACUCCGUGCCAGCCGCCGCGGUAAAAC